rnacentral:rRNA from 2 species
AGGUUAAGUUAUGAAGGGYGCAUGGUGAAUGCCUUGGUACUAGGAGCCGAUGAAGGACGGGACUAACACCGAUAUGCUUCGGGGAGCGGUAAGUACGCUUUGAUCCGGAGAUUUCCGAAUGGGGAAACCCAAUCAUCUUAGUCGAUGAUUGCCURAGCAGUGAAUACAUAGCUGUCAGGCGGUAGACGCAGUGAACUGAAACAUCUAAGUAGCUGCAGGAAGAGAAAGAAAAUUCGAUUCCCUGAGUAGCGGCGAGCGAAACGGGAAGAGCCCAAACCAACGAGCUUGCUUGUUGGGGUUGUAGGACUGAACAUUUGAGUUACCAAAGUGCGACGUAGUUGAAGUCGUUGGGAAGCGAYGCCAAAGAUGGUGAUAGCCCAGUAAACGAAACGUCACACUCUCAGUUCAGGAUCCUGAGUACGGCGGGACACGUGAAACCCCGUCGGAAUCCGCGAGGACCAUCUCGCAAGGCUAAAUACUYCCUAGUGACCGAUAGUGAACCAGUACCGUGAGGGAAAGGUGAAAAGCACCCCGGGAGGGGAGUGAAACAGUUCCUGAAACCAUGUGCCUACAAGCUGUCGGAGCACAUUUACGUGUGACGGCGUGCCUCUUGCAGAAUGAACCGGCGAGUCAUGAUUGCGUGCAAGGUUAAGGUGGAAAAACCGGAGCCGUAGCGAAAGCGAGUCUGAAAUGGGCRUACGAAGUACGCAGUUAUGUACCCGAAACCAGGUGACCUACCCAUGYCCAGGUUGAAGGUGCGGUAAAACGCACUGGAGGACCGAACCCGUAUCAGUUGAAAAUGGUUGGGAUGAGGUGUGGGUAGCGGUGAAAUUCCAAACGAACUUGGAGAUAGCUGGUUCUCUCCGAAAUCUCUUUAGGGGGAGCCUCGAGGUUUAGAAUCAUGGAGGUAGAGCACUGUUUGGACUAGGGGCCCGUCAUGGGUUACUGACUUCAGAUAAACUCCGAAUGCCAUUGAUUUUUACUCGGGAGUCACACGGUGAGUGAUAAGAUCCAUCGUGGAAAGGGGAACAGCCCAGAUCAUCAGCUAAGGUCCCUAAAUAUAUGCUAAGUGGAAAAGGAUGUGGAAUUGCACAGACAACUAGGAUGUUGGCUCAGAAGCAGCCAUCAUUUAAAGAGUGCGUAAUAGCUCACUAGUCGAGUGACUCUGCGCCGAAAAUGUACCGGGGCUAAGCAUAUUACCGAAGCUAUGGAUGCAUCCAUCAGGAUGCGUGGUAGGAGAGCGUUCCAAGGGCGAUGAAGUCAGACCGUAAGGCUGGUGGAGCGCUUGGAAGUGAGAAUGCCGGUAUGAGUAGCGAAAGACAGGUGAGAAUCCUGUCCACCGAAUGACUAAGGUUUCCUGGGGAAGGCUCGUCCUCCCAGGGUUAGUCGGGACCUAAGUCGAGGCCGAGAGGCGUAGACGAUGGACAACAGGCUGAUAUUCCUGUACCAGUUGAUUGUGCUUGAGUGAUGGAGUGACGCAGAAGGCUAAGCGAUCCGGACGAUUGGAAGUGUCCGGCCAAGCAGCAAGUCAGUUGAUGAGUCAAAUGCUUAUCAGCGRGUUGACAAGCUGUGAUGGGGAGCGAAAUUAUAGUAGCGAAGUCGUUGAUGUCACGCUGCCGAGAAAAGCUUCUAGCGAAUAAUCAACUGCCCGUACCGCAAACCGACACAGGUAGUCGAGGAGAGUAUCCUAAGGUGAGCGAGCGAACUCUCGUUAAGGAACUCGGCAAAAUGACCCCGUAACUUCGGGAGAAGGGGUGCUGAUCGCAAGAUCAGCCGCAGUGAAAAGGCCCAGGCGACUGUUUAUCAAAAACACAGGUUUCUGCAAAAUCGUAAGAUGAAGUAUAGGGGCUGACGCCUGCCCGGUGCUGGAAGGUUAAAAGGAAGAGUUAGCUUCGGYGAAGCCCUGAAUUGAAGCCCCAGUAAACGGCGGCCGUAACUAUAACGGUCCUAAGGUAGCGAAAUUCCUUGUCGGGUAAGUUCCGACCCGCACGAAAGGCGUAACGAUCUGGCACUGUCUCAACGAGAGACUCGGUGAAAUUGAAUUGCCUGUGAAGAUGCAGGCUACCCGCGACAGGACGGAAAGACCCCAUGGAGCUUUACUGUAGCUUGAUAUUGAGUGCUUGUACUGCUUGUACAGGAUAGGUAGGAGCCAUAGAAGCCAG